ensembl:snRNA Gm25205 U6 spliceosomal RNA
UUGCUUGGGCAGCAAAUAUAAUAAAAUUGGAUCAAUUGGGAGAACAGUAGCAUGGUUCCUAGGCAAGGAUGCAAUGCAAAUUUGUGAAGCAUUCCAUAUUUUA